CCUACGGGAGGCAGCAGUGGGGAAUAUUGGGCAAUGGGCGCAAGCCUGACCCAGCAACGCCGCGUGAAGGAAGAAGGCUUUCGGGUUGUAAACCUCUUUUUUCAGGGAAGAGUAGAAGACGGUACCUGACGAAUAAGCCACGGCUAACUACGUGCCAGCAGCCGCGGUAAUACGUAGGUGGCAAGCGUUAUCCGGAUUUACUGGGUGUAAAGGGCGUGUAGCCGGGUUGACAAGUCAGAUGUGAAAUCCUGCGGCUUAACCGCAGAACUGCAUUUGAAACUGUUGAUCUUGAGUACUGGAGAGGCAGGCGGAAUUCCUAGUGUAGCGGUGAAAUGCGUAGAUAUUAGGAGGAACACCAGUGGCGAAGGCGGUCUGCUGGACUGUAACUGACGUUGAGGCGCGAAAGCGUGGGGAGCAAACAGGAUUAGAUACCCUAGUAGUC
rnacentral:rRNA from 1 species